UCUUUCCCUUCACCACGCUGUGCCUAUACAUGUGAUCUUACAGGUAAAAUUAAGAAAUUAAAGGAUAUUGCUUUUUCCAGCUCAUUUCCCUAGCCUCACACAGCCCCAACUACCCCAGGUGAUUUUACUAUUUUUUAUUUUAAUCCUAAACAAAAACAUUUUAAAAUCUACUUUCUGUAAAGAGAAACUGGUAAUCAAAUAAGGAGAAUUUGAGGCCACUUUCUAAUGUGAUUGCCUAAAGCACCCCUAGCUCCUUUGCAACCCAAGAUCUCUUGGCCUCAGAAACAUCCCUGAAGACUAUCGUUACGAAUUCACAAGGCAGCCUAGUAGUCUGUGAGCCUCAAUUUACACACCAUUGG